GGCCACCUGUGUGAGACUCAAACAGAGAAAUCCAGAAAGAGAGUGAGAGAUCAUUUCCCUAGUACUGCUACCUGGGGUUAGACUAAGGACCUACCUGAGGAAGUUCUCUUAGCCAAGCAUGAGGAUUUUAUCCUUGUUCAUGAUUCCAUUGGCUCUUCAUAAGGAUAAGACACCAAAGGAGAAAGAAAUCAUUAAGAUGUUUCCUCGUGCCAAGGGAGGAAGAUUUGAGGGGAAAAUGGAGAUAACCUCACACGGAUUCCUCAGCGAGUUUCAAGAGCAGCCCCAGCCCAAGCUUCCAAAUGGAGAAGGCAGGCCAAGGCAUGUCGAGCUCCACGGAAUCAAGUGAUUUGGGAGCUGUAGGGGCCCAUCUAGGUCACCUUCCUUCCUAAAAGACUUGCCUUAUUCUCCAAAUUGUUCUCCUUGAACGAUAUCUCAGCGUCAACAUCUCAUCAAUUAAAUUUGGAGAAAGAGUGUGUGUUGGGAGGCAAGGGAAGCAAUGCUUUUUAUUGUCAGGCUGCCCUAUAAAAUGAAACUUGCCAGUGACCUGGGAGGACACGACUCUGACACUGUGUCCUUCCCUGCAGAAGGGGAGAAAUGCCUGCCGUCCUCCAUGUCUUAGACUUGUGAGGAUGAAAUGGAAUGAUUAAAACAAAAAUGGCAUUAAAAAAUUAUAGACCAGGGUUUUCAUCGAAACGUUAGGAUUUCCUCUUUUCCAUUCUCAUUGUCCUCAGGGUAAAAUGAAUACUACUUGAAAGUGUUUCACAAAGCCCUCAUAUCUAACUCCAAUCUGCCUCUUAGCUCUGGACCCUUCUCUCAUCACGUCCCUUAUCCAGUCACACUGGACAGUGCCCCGUUCUCUUUCCCACGUUAUGGCCUUUGCACAUGCUUUUCCUCCUUUCUGGAAUAGUUCCCCCUGCUCCUAUCCAUUCCUGACUCUCCUUAAAGUGAGCAAUGCCUAACUUACACUCUGGGUUUCAACUUAGAUACUUCUUCCAGAAAGCCACUGCCCAAACCCCACUCACCUCUCAAGUACCCAGAUCCUGGUCCAGUUAGUCUGCUUCAUAUGUCCAUCCCCUAUCAGGGUGUAAAUGCCUAGAUUAGAAGAAUUCGCCUUUUUCACCAUUACGUGUAUCCCUGACUCCUAAUAGGGUGCAGCACACAGUAGCUUCUCAAUAAAUAUUUGUUGAAUGAAUGAAUAACUGACAGAUGAAUAAAUGCACGCUUUCAAUACAA
rnacentral:lncRNA from 1 species